rnacentral:tRNA from 1 species
CACUAACCUUUUAAGUUAGAGUAUGGGAACAUAAUAUUCUCCUUAAUGA